UGGCAGGAUCCGGAAUGGUCAUCCAACCUUGUUCGUCGUUUUUUUCUUCCGGACGGUGGUCUGGUUCUCAGAUCACUAUCGACGGCGUCUUCUGGCUCCGACCGGCGACUUCCCGACUGCUACGUCAACACACUGUCCUUUUUUUUUUACUUUAAAGAUGGUGUUGUAAGAGUUGGUUGAUUUUAAUAUAUGACCUUAGCCUCCUUGAAAUUUUUUUGCUGGUUUUACCUGCAGCUAAUGAAGCAAAUUAGUAAUACUCUGGCGCCCGACGCCCUGACCCACAUCGCAGACCCACAUGUGUGUGUGCUCCGGCCGCACGUCGCACGCAGCGCACAUGUCAUGGCUAACGGGUCGGGUCAAUUGGCUGACACGGCGCCUGACAAGCAGGACCCACAUGUAAGAAUACUGUCAAAAUGACUUGAACGGUUAUUUUGACCGAGGUGAGACAUUUACUCAAAACCCGUGGUUUUUAGGACAAAAUAGUAACAUA
rnacentral:lncRNA from 1 species